AAGCCUGUGAGGGGAUGUCUGAAGGAAGCCUAAGCGCAAGACAGCGAGCCGACGGACAGAAAUGUCAUAGAAGGCCGACUUCCCUGUGGCGAGAGAUGAGU
rfam:Endosymbiont of Codakia orbicularis strain COS CODIS_contig000004, whole genome shotgun sequence.